rfam:Glycine soja cultivar W05 scaffold3188_8, whole genome shotgun sequence.
GACCUAUCAGUUCAGUUAGUUAGAGCAUUGUGCUAAUAAUGUGAAAGUUAUAGGUUUAAUUCCUGCAUGGGUCA